GGUUAUAGCUCAGUGGUAGAGUGCUUGCCUAGCACAUGUGAGGCACUGAGUUUGAUCCUCAGCACCA
rnacentral:tRNA from 1 species